rnacentral:lncRNA from 1 species
GACUGGUUAUAUAAGGUUUGAAACCUAUGGGUAGCUGGAUCGGGAUCUCACCCCGACCCAAACCUGGUGCAUAUUUUCAGUACCUGAACCUGGACAUGAAUCAAUUCUUCAGUAGACUAGGUAUGGACAACAAAGUUAUACCCAAAACCCAACAGGUAUAUGUCUGGUUUCUGUGAAACUGAGACCCAACCCAAUCCGAUAGCACCC